AGGUUUCUGGGGGUCCUUAUGGGUCCUUAUGGGUCCCUAUGGGGUCUCUAUGGGUCCCUAUGGGUCUCUAUGGGGUCUCUAUGGGUCCCUAUGGGUUCCUCUUUGAGUCCCUAUAGGGUCCUUAUGGGUCCCUAUGUGCCUCUAUGGGGUCCCUAUGGGGUCUCUAUGUAUCCCUAUAGGUCCCUCUUUGAGUCCCUAUAGUUUCUGGGGGUCUCUGGGGUUCCCACGUUUCCACGUCCCACGUUUCCAUGUUCCCAUGACCCCAUAAUCCCAAAAUCCCAUGUUCCCACAUUUCCACAUUCCCACAUUUCCAUGUUCCCAUGUUCCCACGUUUCCAUGUUCCCACGUCCCCAUGUUCCCAUGUUCUGAUGUUUCCAUGUUCCCACAUUUCCACCUUCCCACAUUUCCAUGUUUCCAUGACCCCAUAUUUCCAUGUUCCCAUGUUCCCAUGUUUCCAUGACCCCAUGUUCCCACAUUUCCAUGUUCCCACAUUUCCAUGUUCCCAUGUUUCCAUGACCCCAUGUUCCCAUACUCCCAUGUUCCCAUGUUUCCAUAUUCCCACAUUUCCACGUUUCCAUGUUCCUAUGUUUCCAGAUCCCACGUUCCCAUGUUUCCAUGUUCCCACGUUUCCAUAUUCCCACGUCCCCAUGUUUCCAUGACCCCAUGUUCCCAUGUUCCCACGUUUCCAUGUUCCCACGUUCCCAUGUUCCCAUGUUCUGAUGUUCCCAUGUUCCCAUGUUUCCAUGACCCCAUGUUCUGAUGUUCCCAUGUUUCCAUGUUCCCAUGUUCCCACGUUCCCAUGUUCCCACAUUUCCAUGUUCCCAUGUUCCCACAUUUCCAUGACCCCAUGUUCCCAUGUUCCCACAUUUCCAUGUUUCCACGUUCCCAUGUUUCCAGACCCCAUGUUCCCACAUUCCCACGUUCCCAUGUUCCCUUUCCAUGUUCCCAUGUUCCCAUGUUCCCUUUCCAUGUUCCCAUGUUCCCAUGUUCCCACAUUUCCAUGUUCCCUUUCUAUGUUCCCAUGUUCCCAUGUUCCCUUUCCAUGUUCCCACGUUCCCAUGUUCCCACAUUUCCACAUUUCCACCUUCCCAUGUUUCCAGACCCCACCUUCCCACCUUCCCACAUCUCCACAUUUCCACAUCCCACCUCCCCACCCCCCCAAACCCCCCCUCACCUCGGGCUGACCACAUCCUGCGGUGCCUGGAACCACUCCUGCAAUUUACUCUCCAGCCCCACUCCCACCUUAACCAGGUAGGAGCUGGGAUCCACGCAGCAGGCCCAGUAGCUCCUGCCCUGCGUCACGGCCACGUCUCCGAUCACCACCUCGACGGAGAGGUGGCAGCUGCUCAGCAGCCUUUCGGCAGCGAAAAGCAUCGGGACCCCCGGCACGCUGCGCACCGCGCGCUGGUCCUUACUGAUGGCCAGCCGGUCCCGAUUGAAACCCCAGCGGUUGUCCAGGAAGAAAUUGAGGACUGCAAUGAGGAGGGGGGGGGAAGGGGGUGGUGAGAGAUGUGAUGUGGGAAUGGGGGAUGGGGGGAGCUGAGCCCCUUUGAUGUGACCUGGUACCCAUCUGUAGGGUGGCAUCCUGCAUAUAGAAGUAGGGGAGGGGUCCUAAGGAGCACAGGGAUGCUCAGAGGAUGGAGGAGGAGGAGGAGGAAGGAGGAGGACAGUGAUGUGGGAAUGGGGGUAGGGGGAGCUGAGCCCCCUUUUGCCCAUUUGUAGGGUGGCAUCCUGCAUAUGGAGGUAGGGGAGGGGUCCUAAGGGGUGCAGGGAUGCUCAGAGGAUGGAGGAGGAGGAGGAGGAGGAGGAGGAGGAGGAGGAGGAAGGAGGAGCUGUGCUUUGGGUCGUGCUUUUGGGCAUCUGCUGGUCCUUACUGAUGGCCAGCCCCCUAAACCCUCCCAAUCCCCCCCAGCCCCCCCCCAAAGCCCUCCCUAAACCCCCCCAAAGUC
rnacentral:lncRNA from 1 species